GACGAACGCUGGCGGCGUGCUUAACACAUGCAAGUCGAACGGAAAGGCCCUGCUUUUGUGGGGUGCUCGAGUGGCGAACGGGUGAGUAACACGUGAGUAACCUGCCCUUGACUUUGGGAUAACUUCAGGAAACUGGGGCUAAUACCGGAUAGGAGCUCCUGCUGCAUGGUGGGGGUUGGAAAGUUUCGGCGGUUGGGGAUGGACUCGCGGCUUAUCAGCUUGUUGGUGGGGUAGUGGCUUACCAAGGCUUUGACGGGUAGCCGGCCUGAGAGGGCGACCGGCCACAUUGGGACUGAGAUACGGCCCAGACUCCUACGGGAGGCAGCAGUGGGGAAUAUUGCACAAUGGGCGGAAGCCUGAUGCAGCAACGCCGCGUGCGGGAUGACGGCCUUCGGGUUGUAAACCGCUUUCGCCUGUGACGAAGCGUGAGUGACGGUAAUGGGUAAAGAAGCACCGGCUAACUACGUGCCAGCAGCCGCGGUGAUACGUAGGGUGCGAGCGUUGUCCGGAUUUAUUGGGCGUAAAGGGCUCGUAGGUGGUUGAUCGCGUCGGAAGUGUAAUCUUGGGGCUUAACCCUGAGCGUGCUUUCGAUACGGGUUGACUUGAGGAAGGUAGGGGAGAAUGGAAUUCCUGGUGGAGCGGUGGAAUGCGCAGAUAUCAGGAGGAACACCAGUGGCGAGGGCGGUUCUCUGGGCCUUUCCUGACGCUGAGGAGCGAAAGCGUGGGGAGCGAACAGGCUUAGAUACCCUGGUAGUCCACGCUGUAAACGGUGGGUACUAGGUGUGGGGUCCAUUCCACGGGUUCCGUGCCGUAGCUAACGCUUUAAGUACCCCGCCUGGGGAGUACGGCCGCAAGGCUAAAACUCAAAGGAAUUGACGGGGCCCCGCACAAGCGGCGGAGCAUGCGGAUUAAUUCGAUGCAACGCGUAGAACCUUACCUGGGUUUGACAUGGAUCGGGAGUGCUCAGAGAUGGGUGUGCCUCUUUUGGGGUCGGUUCACAGGUGGUGCAUGGCUGUCGUCAGCUCGUGUCGUGAGAUGUUGGGUUAAGUCCCGCAACGAGCGCAACCCUUGUUCACUGUUGCCAGCACGUUAUGGUGGGGACUCAGUGGAGACCGCCGGGGUCAACUCGGAGAAAGGUGGGGAUGACGUCAAGUCAUCAUGCCCCUUAUGUCCAGGGCUUCACGCAUGCUACAAUGGCUGGUACAGAGAGUGGCGAGCCUGUGAGGGUGAGCGAAUCUCGGAAAGCCGGUCUCAGCUCGGAUUGGGGUCUGCAACUCGACCUCAUGAAGUCGGAGUCGCUAGUAAUCGCAGAUCAGCAACGCUGCGGUGAAUACGUUCCCGGGGCU
rnacentral:rRNA from 1 species